CCUACGGGAGGCAGCAGUGGGGAAUAUUUCACAAUGGGGGAAACCCUGAUGCAGCGACGCCGCGUGAGUGAAGAAGUAUUUCGGUAUGUAAAGCUCUAUCCGUAGGGAAGAACAUGACGGUACCUGAUUCAGAAGCCCCGGCUAACUACGUGCCAGCAGCCGCGGUAAUACGUAGGGGGCAAGCGUUAUCCGGAUUUACUGGGUGUAAAGGGAGCGUAGACGGCAGCACAAGUCUGGAGUGAAAUGCCGGGGCUUAACCCCGGAACUGCUUUGGAAACUGUGCAGCUAGAGUGCAGGAGAGGGAAGUGGAAUUCCUAGUGUAGCGGUGAAAUGCGUAGAUAUUAGGAGGAACACCAGUGGCGAAGGCGGCUUACUGGACUGUAACUGACGUUGAGGCUCGAAAGCGUGGGGAGCAAACAGGAUUAGAUACCCUUGUAGUC
rnacentral:rRNA from 1 species